AGUUGCGCAUUGGGUUUCUCCAGAAUAGGAGGGCUGAGCUUGGCCAGCUCAGAACUACCUUAGCUGCUAGAGGAGACCUCUGAGGAAGACUGAGGAAAGAGUACGCUGUGAACCGCCGCUGGUGUGUGUACUCAGGCUACUCUCAACUCAGGUCUCCAGAUCCUGUGAAGAGGAAGCAGGAGGAACCAACCUCAGCAAAUGGGAUUGUUUAUUUCACAGUGGUGAAGGGCGGACGCAAUGGGCAUGACAGCUCACACUCUUGGUUGUCAGCUUAGUGACAUGCAAGGUUAACUAAACCCAAGCAGCUGAGCACACCUGUGAGGAAUUCUCUUCAUCCAAUCCAGGAAGACCUGGCUUUGUGCCUGGAGCAUCCCUCAUGCGACUGCAUGGUGGGGGUGGGGUGGGGGUGGGGUCAGUAAAGGGCUUGGAGGUGAAGCACUCUGGAGACAGUUUCAGGGAUUGGCUUCUGCUGUAUUGCACAUGAGCAGCUGUUUAUCUUGUGGAAGCCUAUCGGCUGUGAUUGGUUAGCACAUUACCUCAGAUUGGACUCAUAUUGCCUGGGUCUCUGUGCAGAAGAAGCACACAAACAGACUUGGAGAAUGCAGAUGCAUCAGCAGGCCAGCUACCACCUACGGAUGCUACUUCAGCAUUCCGUGUUCUGACUCUCGGAAUACCCAGGAGCAUGGUGUGCCAGGUGUCUCUCUUAGAAGCAGUGUGCUCGUAGUCCGACUGCCAGGUCAGGCGUGCAUUUUUUCCUACAGAGACCCACCCUAAAUCUGCAUCUUUUGAAGUGGGAGUAUCUACCUUAAAUCUGGACCACACCUUCUGGUGGCAAACUCCAUAAAGGACAUGGAAGAAGGACGCUUUCGCUCUUUGCCUGCUUGCCUUGCUCUUCCCUCAUUGCUCUUUCAGCCUACGUAUACUGAAGACCAGCGGAGACAUCCAGGCUCGAGGACUGAACAAGUACUGGGUUCUUGGACUUUACUUUGGAGACAGCCAUUGUCAAACUAGCUGAACCACAGCCUGUAAGCCACUCUAAUAAAUCAGAUAUGAUUUACUCUUA